rnacentral:tRNA from 2 species
GCGGAUGUAGCUCAGUUGGUAGAGCGCAACCUUGCCAAGGUUGAGGUCGCGGGUUCGAGUCUCGUCAUCCGCU